rnacentral:rRNA from 1 species
CGGAGGCACCUGCACAGGUGCUGCAUGGCUGUCGUCAGCUCGGUGUCGUGAGAUGUUGGUUAAGUCCCGCAACGAGCGCAACCCUUGUCAUUAGUUGCCAUCAUUUGGUUGGGCACUCUAAUGAGACUGCCGGUGACAAACCGGAGGAAGGUGGGGAUGACGUCAAGUCCUCAUGGCCCUUAUGGGUAGGGCUUCACACGUCAUACAAUGGUCGGUACAGAGGGUUGCCAACCCGCGAGGGGGAGCUAAUCCCACAAAGCCGAUCGUAGUCCGGAUCGCAGUCUGCAACUCGACUGCGUGAAGUCGGAAUCGCUAGUAAUCGCGGAUCAGCAUGUCGCGGUGAAUACGUUCCCGGGUCUU